rnacentral:tRNA from 1 species
GAAGGUAUAGCUCAGGUAGAGUGUGUGCUUAGCAUGCAUGAGGUCCUGGGUUCAAUCCCCAGUACCUCCA